rnacentral:rRNA from 1 species
CACAUAUCUCUAAACAGCUAGCCAGGCCCCCGUCCCUAAAAAAUUAAAUGCCUAAAUAACUAUUUUACAAGAACUUAACAAAUCUUAUACUAAACCAUUUUCCCCCUGAAGUAUGUGCGACAGAAACAGGUUAAAUGAUGCGCUAUAGAAAAAGUACCGCAAGGGAAUGCUGAAACAGAAAAAUGAAAUAAAUCAGUAAAGGGUAGCAAAGCAGAGGUUAAGCCUCGUACCUUUUGCAUCAUGAGUUAGCUAGAAUUAAUUAAGCAAAGUGACAUACUUUAGGUUUAACAUCCCGAAUCUGAGCGAGCUACUUCAAGACAGCCUAAUUAUAGGGCCAACCCUUCCCUGUUGCAAAAGGGUGGGAAGAUCUUCAAGUAGAGGUGAAAAGCCUACCGAGCUCCGUUAUAGCUGGUUUCCUAGGAGAUGAAUAGAAGUUCUUCCUUUUAACAUUCAUUAUAUAAUAUAAAUCAUAUUUCAUUUUAAAUUAAAAAGAAUUAAAAGAGUUAUUCAAGAAAGGAACAGCUCUCUUGAAAAAAGAUACAACUUUUCUAGAAGGCUAAAGAUUACAACUUUAAAGGACACACUUUUAUGUUGGCCUAAGAGCAGCCACCUCUUUAAACUGCGUUAAAGCUUAUUCAAACAUUUUCUUACGAUUUUUACAUAUUUUUCUUAAACCUCCAAUAAUUUACUAGGACAUUCUAUGUAUACAUAGAAAGGAUUAUGCUAAUAUUAGUAUUAAGAGUGCUUAAAAAGGCUCUCUCCUGGACAUCUGUGUACAUCAGAUCGAACCCCCACUGAAUGUUAACGUUCUUAUAGAAAGAAGUGGGAAAAGCCUAUCAACUCCAAGACAAGUCCCCAUUAAACGUAACGUUAAUCCAACACAGGAAUGCUUUAGGAAAGAUAAAACAGAAGAGAAGGAACUCGGCAAACACCCAGGCCUCGCCUGUUUACCAAAAACAUCGCCUCUUGUACAAAAUAUAAGAGGUCCUGCCUGCCCAGUGAACACUGAUUUUAACGGCCGCGGUAUUCUGACCGUGCAAAGGUAGCGUAAUCACUUGUCUUUUAAAUGAAGGCCUGUAUGAAUGGCAAGACGAGGGCCUAACUGUCUCCUUUUUUGAAUCAAUGAAAUUGACUUACCCGUGCAGAGGCGGGUAUAAAAACAUAAGACGAGAAGACCCUAUGGAGCUUCAGACCCAGGACAGUCCUAAAUAUUAUUUAAAGAAUAAUCUUUAGUUUUAUAUAAUUAAAGUCUCUGUCUCUUUGUCUUUGGUUGGGGCGACCACGGGGAAAAACGAAACCCCCGCGAGGAAUGGGAAGCUUUCCUUAAAAAUUGAGCUACCGCUCUAAUUUGCAGAAGAUCUGACCUGAUGAUCCGGCAUUGCCGAUUAACGGAAUCAGUUACCCUAGGGAUAACAGCGCAAUCUUCUUCCAGAGUCCCUAUCGACAAGAGGGUUUACGACCUCGAUGUUGGAUCAGGACUUCCUAUUGGUGUAGCCGCUAUUAAGGGUUC